UACGUAGGGUGCGAGCGUUAAUCGGAAUUACUGGGCGUAAAGCGUGCGCAGGCGGUUUGCUAAGACCGAUGUGAAAUCCCCGGGCUUAACCUGGGAACUGCAUUGGUGACUGGCAGGCUAGAGUAUGGCAGAGGGGGUAGAAGUUCCACGUGUAGCAGUGAAAUGCGUAGAGAUGUGGAGGAAUACCGAUGGCGAAGGCAGCCCCCUGGGCCAAUACUGACGCUACAUG
rnacentral:rRNA from 1 species